AAGUCGUAACAAGGUUUCCGUAGGUGAACCUGCGGAAGGAUCAUUAACACGUAUCCAACGUUAAACAACCCUGUGAACUUUCAACGCUCUUGUAGCCCCAGAGGAACAGCAAUCCCGGUAAAUCAAUGGCGGAAAAGUUUUGAUUCGGGACGUGAGAAGGAUCACUGAGUAAGGAUAACGCAUCACGGUUGCCAGAGGUCGAUCACCGGCCGGCAGACAUGUCACAGGGCGUGCGCGCCCCCUCAUUCACCCCUUGCCCUCUCAAGCCUCGCGGAAACGCCGGGCAUAAAAACCGAACAACUGUUAACAAUGGAUAUCUUGGUUCUC
rnacentral:misc_RNA from 1 species